GUGAUGCUCCCAAACAGGGCAUUGGAGGAGACUCAGCUCAGCAAAGCUGCAGGUAGAGCAGAACUCGUUGCCACUGUUUUCCAUAUGUUCCCCUCUAUGGGGGCCUGACUGGACCUCGACCUGAGGAAGAUGCGGAAUGGAAACUUAAUGGAGAAACAAGUCCCAACCCAGAUUCUAUGAGCUGCACUUUGGUCCUAUCAAGACAGGAAGGCAGCUGCAUGAGAGGUGGAAA